CUAACUACGUGCCAGCAGCCGCGGUAAUACGUAGGGUGCGAGCGUUAAUCGGAAUUACUGGGCGUAAAGGGUGCGCAGGCGGUUUUGUAAGACAGAUGUGAAAUCCCCGGGCUUAACCUGGGAACUGCGUUUGUGACUGCAAGGCUAGAGUACGGCAGAGGGGGGUGGAAUUCCGCGUGUAGCAGUGAAAUGCGUAGAUAUGCGGAGGAACACCGAUGGCGAAGGCAACCCCCUGGGCCUGUACUGACGCUCAUGCACGAAAGCGUGGGGAGCAAACAGGAUUAGAUACCCUGGUAGUCCACGCCCUAAACGAUGUCAACUAGUCGUUCGGAGCAGCAAUGCACUGAGUGACGCAGCUAACGCGUGAAGUUGACCGCCUGGGGGAGUACGGCCGCAAGGUUAAAACUCAAAGGAAUUGACGGG
rnacentral:rRNA from 1 species